UACGUAGGGGGCGAGCGUUGUCCGGAUUUAUUGGGCGUAAAGCGCGCGCAGGAGGUUCCUUAAGUCUGAUGUGAAAGCCCACGGCUCGACCGUGGAGGGUCAUUGGAAACUGGGGAACUUGAGUGCAGAAGAGGAGAGCGGAAUUCCACGUGUAGCGGUGAAAUGCGUAGAUAUGUGGAGGAACACCAGUGGCGAAGGCGGCUCUCUGGUCUGCAACUGAAGCUGAGGCGCGAAAGCGUGGGUAGCGAACAGG
rnacentral:misc_RNA from 1 species